rnacentral:antisense_RNA from 1 species
AGAUCAGCCCUGGGGUUCAGAGGGAUCCUGACGGCUACUCCUCAAGAUCCUCUCUGUUGUGAUUCAUCCCCCCCAGGCCCUACAGUUUCUCCUUCCUGACUCUUACAUUUCUUUGGAUGGCAUCACUAUUCCUGUGGCUGACUGACAGCUCAACUUGGAGAAGGUGUUACCUGGGCCAGGUGGGGAAGGUAGGGUUGUUUGCAGAGCAAAGAAGUGAAGGAAGUAUUAACCCUUUGCAUGGCCUCCUGAGAAUCUGACAAGACGUAAAUAGCCAAGAAUAUCUGUGGAACUUAAUCAGUGAGUUACAAUAUUUAUCACUGCAAGUGUGUUGUUCAUUGACACUAUAAAGCCAUAUGGAAUUAAGCAGCCUUGAAACACAAAAUGGAGAAAGGCUAAGAGCUGAGAAUUGUUGCCUUCAGGGAAAUAUAAUCAAUGUCAAGCAAACAACCACCCCAAAA